rnacentral:rRNA from 1 species
UACGUAGGGUGCGAGCGUUAAUCGGAAUUACUGGGCGUAAAGCGUGCGCAGGCGGUUUUUUAAGCCAGAUGUGAAAUCCCCGGGCUUAACCUGGGAACUGCAUUUGUGACUGUAAGACUAGAGUGCGGCAGAGGGGGGUAGAAUUCCACGUGUAGCAGUGAAAUGCGUAGAUAUGUGGAGGAAUACCGAUGGCGAAGGCAGCCCCCUGGGUCGACACUGACGCUCAUGCACGAAAGCGUGGGGAGCAAACAGG